rnacentral:lncRNA from 1 species
AACACAAACAGCACUGUUAAGUUACCCCUCAAAACAUAAUCAAAUACAAAAUUUGAAAGCAUAGGAAGACAAAGAGGCACCUAAGGGUAAAACAUUGCCCCUAGCAAAUCUCAAAAUGGGUUCCACCCAAGUCAGUCCUUUUGCCUCUUUGCCUCCACUACCAUCUAUCUGAAUUUCCAAAAUCAAAUCAAUUAACAAAAAAAUAAUUCUUAAAUGCAGAUAACAUCAUUAAACUCCAUUACUUUUAUCAAAGAAGAAUUACACUUUAGAAACCACAUAGUUAUUCUUAAAAUUUAAUUUAAAACAUAAAACCCAGAUAUUGAAACUGCAAUUUAGCUAAGUUCAGAUAACAAAUAUUACAUCUUAGAAUUUAGGAUGAGUCUAACUCAACCCUACAAAACCGGGUUCCUUACUAAGGAUUGUCUCUACUUAUAAACUCAUAUUCAAGCCAUUUUAUCUGGGACUCUUUAACACACCCUUUUACGCUCAACACUAUUGGACUUGAUGUGUGGAUAUAAAUGGUGGGUGAUCCAAUAGUGAAAACCCGAUAUCAGUUGGCCCAACAGAUCUUGAAGAAGGCUAUGAUAUCAUCUUAGAAUUUGGGUUGGACCUAACUCGCUAGUAAGGUGAAGAUUAUUUCUACUUGUAAAGACAUCUUCAUCUUCAGGUCAUUUCACAUAUCAUAAUAAGUGCAGACAAAGUUGGAAUUCAACUAACCACUAUUCAAUUCAAUAUAAAUAUGUUAAUGAAAAAGAGAUAGUUUCAAUUCCUCAAAUUAAAUUUUGAAGCUUAUAAUCAUGGGGAUGAAGGAGAAAAAGAACCUGAUGGGAUUGAGCACAGGCCCUGAAGGGAGAUGGUACAUAAACAGCAGGGCGUAGAGUGAAGGAUUUAACAGCNN